GAUGAAGAACGUAGCGAAAUGCGAUACGUAAUGUGAAUUGCAGAAUUCAGUGAAUCAUCGAGUCUUUGAACGCACAUUGCGCCCUCUGGUAUUCCGGAGGGCAUGCCUGUCCGAGCGUCAUUGCUGCCCUCAAGCACGGCUUGUGUGUUGGGCUCCGUCCCCCGAUCCCAGGGGGACGGGCCCGAAAGGCAGCGGCGGCACCGCGUCCGGUCCUCGAGCGUAUGGGGCUUUGUCACCCGCUCUGUAGGCCCGGCCGGCGCUUGCCGAUCAACCAAAUUUUUAUCCAGGUUGACCUCGGAUCAGGUAGGGAUACCCGCUGAACUUAAGCAUAUCAAUAAGCAGAGGA
rnacentral:misc_RNA from 1 species